rnacentral:rRNA from 1 species
UACGUAGGGGGCAAGCGUUGUCCGGAAUCAUUGGGCGUAAAGAGCGCGUAGGCGGCCCAGUAAGUCCGCUCUGAAAGUCAGGGGCUCAACCCCUGAAUGCGGGUGGAUACUGCUGGGCUAGAGUCCGGAAGAGGCGAGUGGAAUUCCUGGUGUAGCGGUGGAAUGCGUAGAGAUCCGGAAGAGCACCUGAGGCGAAGGCGGCUUGCUGGGCAUGAUCUGACGCUGAGGCGCGAAAGCGUGGGGAGCAAACAGG